UACAGAGGGGGCAAGCGUUGUUCGGAAUUAUUGGGCGUAAAGGGCGCGUAGGCGGCGAAACAAGUGACGGGUGAAAUCCCUCGGCUUAACCGAGGAACUGCCUGUCAGACUGUUUGGCUUGAGACCGGGAGAGGUGAGUGGAAUUCCCAGUGUAGCGGUGAAAUGCGUAGAUAUUGGGAGGAACACCAGUGGCGAAGGCGGCUCACUGGACCGGUACUGACGCUGAGGCGCGAAAGCGUGGGGAGCAAACAGG
rnacentral:rRNA from 1 species